UACGUAGGCAGCAAGCGUUGUUCGGAGUUACUGGGCGUAAAGGGUGCGUAGGCGGUCCUAUAAGUAUGGUGUGAAAUCUCCCAGCUUAACUGGGAGGGUGCGCUAUAGACUGUGGGACUAGAGUGUGGGAGAGGAAAGUGGAAUUCCUGGUGUAGCGGUGAAAUGCGUAGAUAUCAGGAGGAACACCGGUGGUGUAAACGGCUUUCUGGACCAUAACUGACGCUGAGGCACGAAAGCGUGGGUAGCAAACAGG
rnacentral:rRNA from 1 species